CCUGUUGCCACAAACCCGUAGAUCCGAACUUGUGGUGAUAGUCCACACAAGCUUGUGUCUAUAGGUCUGUGUCUGUGAGG
ensembl:miRNA MIR100 microRNA 100